rnacentral:rRNA from 1 species
CAGCCGCCGCGGUAAUACGGGGGGAGCAAGCGUUGUUCGGAUUUACUGGGCGUAAAGGGCGCGUAGGCGGCGCCGCAAGUCACUUGUGAAAUCUCCGGGCUCAACUCGGAACGGCCAAGUGAUACUGCGGUGCUAGAGUGCGGAAGGGGCAACUGGAAUUCUUGGUGUAGCGGUGAAAUGCGUAGAUAUCAAGAGGAACACCUGCGGCGAAGGCGGGUUGCUGGGCCGACACUGACGCUGAGGCGCGAAAGCUAGGGGAGCGAACGGGAUUAGAUACCCCGGUAGUCCUAGCCUUAAACGAUGAAUGCUUGGUGUCCGGAGUUAGAUAGUCUCCGGGUGCCGUCGCUAACGCUUUUAGCAUUCCGCCUGGGGAGUACGGUCGCAAGACUGAAACUCAAAUGAAUUGACGG